rnacentral:rRNA from 1 species
CCUACGGGGGGCAGCAGUGGGGAAUAUUGGGCAAUGGAGGCAACUCUGACCCAGCAACGCCGCGUGAAUGAUGAAGGUCCUCGGAUUGUAAAGCUCUUUUCUAAGGGAAGAAGAAAGUGACGAUACCUUAGGAAUAAGCCUCGGCUAACUACGUGCCAGCAGCCGCGGUAAUACGGAGGAGGCAAGCGUUAUCCGGAAUGACUGGGCGUAAAGGGUGCAUUGGUGGUUUGGCAAGUUAGUAGCGCAACUCCGGGGCUCAACUUCGGAACUACUACUAAAACUGGUGGACUUGAGUGCGGGAGGGGUAAUCGGAAUGCGUGGUGUAGCGGUGAAAUGCGUAGAUAUUAGGAAGAACACCAGUGGCGAAGGCAGAUUGCUGGACUGUAACUGACGCUGAGGCACGAAAGCGUGGGGAGCGAACAGGAUUAGAUACCCGUGUAGUC